GAUGAACGCUAGCGGCAGGCCUAAUACAUGCAAGUCGGACGGGAUCUAUCGGAGAGCUUGCUCGAAGAUAGUGAGAGUGGCGCACGGGUGCGUAACGCGUGAGCAACCUACCCAUAUCAGGGGGAUAGCCCGGAGAAAUCCGGAUUAAGACCGCAAAACACUGUGAAUUGGCAUCAAUUUACAGUUAAAUAUUUAUAGGAUAUGGAUGGGCUCGCGUGACAUUAGCUAGUUGGUGAGGUAACGGCUCACCAAGGCGACGAUGUAUAGGGGCUCGGAGAGGAGAAUCCCCCACCCUGGUACUGCGACCAGGACCAGACGCCUACGGGAGACAGCAGUAAGGAAUAUUGGUCAAUGGGCGGAAGCCUGAACCAGCCAUGCCGCGUGCAGGACGACUGCCCUAUGGGUUGUAAACUGCUUUUGUCGAGGAAUAAACCUAUCUACGAGUAGAUAGCUGAACGUACUCGAAGAAUAAGGAUCGGCUAACUCCGCGCCAGCCGCCGCAGUAA
rnacentral:rRNA from 1 species